rnacentral:rRNA from 1 species
UACGGAAGGCAGCAGUGGGGAAUAUUGCACAAUGGGCGAAAGCCUGAUGCAGCUAUGCCGCGUGUAUGAAGAAGGCCUUAGGGUUGUAAAGUACUUUCAUCGGGGAGGAAAAACAAAACUAAUAAUUUUAUUUCUUGACGUUACCCGAAAAAGAAGCACCGGCUAACUCCGUGCCAGCAGCCGCGGUAAUACGGAGGGUGCUAGCGUUAAUCAGAAUUACUGGGCGUAAAGAGCACGUAGGUGGUUUUUUUAAGUCAGAUGUGAAAUCCCUGGGCUUAACCUGGAACUGCAUUUUGAAACUGAAAUACUAGAGUAUCGUAGAGGGAGGUAGAAUUCUAGGUGUAGCGGUGAAAUGCGUAGAUACCUGGAGGAAUACCUGUGGCGAAAGCGGCCUCCUAAACGAAUACUGACACUGAGGGUGCGAAAGCGUGGGGAGCAAACAGGGAUUAGAUACC